rnacentral:lncRNA from 1 species
GAAAGAGUAAAAUAAAAAAGUAAUUUAUUCAAGUUCAACAAGCCAUAUGUGAAAUCUUAACUCACAGCACAUAAAAGAGAAAAUAAAAUAAAUUCAAGUUUAAGCGAUGUGUGAAAUCCUGCUUUGCAGUACAUAAGUUUGUUAAAAAAGUUAUGGUGUACAUCUUGUUAAUAGUUUUUAGAUAAACAAUCGACUCAUAGAAUUGAAA